GAGCGGCGGAUGGGUGAGUAACACGUGGGGAACCUGCCCCUAAGUCUGGGAUACCAUUUGGAAACAGGUGCUAAUACCGGAUAAUAAAGCAGAUCGCAUGAUCAGCUUUUGAAAGGCGGCGUAAGCUGUCGCUAAGGGAUGGCCCCGCGGUGCAUUAGCUAGUUGGUAAGGUAACGGCUUACCAAGGCGACGAUGCAUAGCCGAGUUGAGAGACUGAUCGGCCACAUUGGGACUGAGACACGGCCCAAACUCCUACGGGAGGCAGCACUAGGGAAUCUUCCACAAUGGACGCAAGUCUGAUGGAGCAACGCCGCGUGAGUGAAGAAGGUUUUCGGAUCGUAAAGCUCUGUUGUUGGUGAAGAAGGAUAGAGGUAGUAACUGGCCUUUAUUUGACGGUAAUCAAUCACAAAGUCACGGCUAACUACGUGCCAGCAGCCGCGGUAAUACGUAGGUGGCAAGCGUUGUCCGGAUUUAUUGGGCGUAAAGCGAGCGCAGGCGGAAAAAUAAGUCUAAUGUGAAAGCCCUCGGCUUAACCGAGGAACUGCAUCGGAAACUGUUUUUCUUGAGUGCAGAAGAGGAGAGUGGAACUCCAUGUGUAGCGGUGGAAUGCGUAGAUAUAUGGAAGAACACCAGUGGCGAAGGCGGCUCUCUGGUCUGCAACUGACGCUGAGGCUCGAAAGCAUGGGUAGCGAACAGGAUUAGAUACCCUGGUAGUCCAUGCCGUAUACGAUGAGUGCUAAGUGUUGGGAGGCUUCCGCCUCUCAGUGCUGCAGCUAACGCAUUAAGCACU
rnacentral:rRNA from 1 species